CAGGCGCGGACGAGCGGGUGUUGCAUCAUAACCCUGUCCGUGCAGUGUGGAAAUAAGAUGCACGCUGUCCUGAAUUUGAUAUUUGCUCCGCUUUGGGAAAUUCCAAUUGUUCUUAGGCUGGUCGGUUUCGCCGGCUGACACUCGUAGUGUCAGACCCAGGAGGAGCCUCGGGAUUUUGGUUUAUAGGUUGGAAGCGCUGGUGGUUUAGCCGCACGAUAUCCUGUCCACUGACACUGUUUUUUUGUUUUUGUUGUCCUGACAUGGUUGAUGAAAUGAUAUCAACGAAAGAGCGGCCAGGAUUUGAAUCAUGUUUUCUGGCGAGAAACACAUCCUUCUCACUUAUUCAACCCGAUUUUAUAAUCUUAC
rnacentral:sRNA from 1 species